rnacentral:rRNA from 1 species
CCUACGGGAGGCAGCAGUGAGGAAUAUUGGUCAAUGGACGAGAGCCUGAACCAGCCAAGUAGCGUGAAGGAUGACUGCCCUAUGGGUUGUAAACUUCUUUUAUAUGGGAAUAAAAUGUUCCACGUGUGGGAUUUUGUAUGUACCAUAUGAAUAAGGAUCGGCUAACUCCGUGCCAGCAGCCGCGGUAAUACGGAGGAUCCGAGCGUUAUCCGGAUUUAUUGGGUUUAAAGGGAGCGUAGGUGGGUUGUUAAGUCAGUUGUGAAAGUUUGCGGCUCAACCGUAAAAUUGCAGUUGAAACUGGCAGUCUUGAGUACAGUAGAGGUGGGCGGAAUUCGUGGUGUAGCGGUGAAAUGCUUAGAUAUCACGAAGAACUCCGAUUGCGAAGGCAGCUCACUGGACUGCAACUGACACUGAGGCUCGAAAGUGUGGGUAUCAAACAGGAUUAGAUACCCGUGUAGUC